GAUGAACGCUGGCGGCGUGCUUAACACAUGCAAGUCGAACGGAAAGGCUCCUGCUUGCAGGGGUACUCGAGUGGCGAACGGGUGAGUAACACGUGGGUGAUCUGCCCUGCACUUCGGGAUAAGCCUGGGAAACUGGGUCUAAUAGCGGAUAGGACCACAUUUUGGAUGGUGUGGUGGAAAGUUUUUCGGUGUGGGAUGAGCUCGCGGCCUAUCAGCUUGUUGGUGGGGUAAUGGCCUACCAAGGCGUCGACGGGUAGCCGGCCUGAGAGGGUGUACGGCCACAUUGGGACUGAGAUACGGCCCAGACUCCUACGGGAGGCAGCAGUGGGGAAUAUUGCACAAUGGGCGCAAGCCUGAUGCAGCGACGCCGCGUGGGGGAUGACGGCCUUCGGGUUGUAAACUCCUUUCGCUAGGGACGAAGCGCAAGUGACGGUACCUGGAGAAGAAGCACCGGCUAACUACGUG
rnacentral:rRNA from 1 species